rnacentral:rRNA from 1 species
CUACGGGUUGCUGCAGUGAGGAAUUUUGCGCAAUGGGCGAAAGCCUGACGCAGCAACGCCGCGUGAGUGAUGAAGGCCUUCGGGUCGUAAAGCUCUGUCAAGUGGGAAGAACCUAUGUAAUGUUAAUAUCAUUAUAUACUGACGGUACCACUGAAGGAAGCACCGGCUAACUCCGUGCCAGCAGCCGCGGUAAUACGGGGGGUGCAAGCGUUAUUCGGAAUCAUUGGGCGUAAAGGGCACGUAGGCGGCCUGGUAAGUCAGAGGUGAAAGCCCGGGGCUUAACCCCGGAAGUGCAUUUGAUACUGUCAGGCUUGAGUAUGGGAGAGGGAAGUGGAAUUCCUGGUGUAGAGGUGAAAUUCGUAGAUAUCAGGAGGAACACCGGUGGCGAAGGCGACUUCCUGGACCAAUACUGACGCUGAGGUGCGAAGGCGUGGGUAGCAAACAGGAUUAGAUACCCGAGUAGUC